UACGGGAGGCAGCAGGGGGAAUAUUGCACAAUGGGCGCAAGCCUGAUGCAGCCAUGCCGCGUGUAUGAAGAAGGCCUUCGGGUUGUAAAGUACUUUCAGUCGUGAGGAAGGUGUUAAGGUUAAUAACCUUAGCAAUUGACGUUAGCGACAGAAGAAGCACCGGCUAACUCCGUGCCAGCAGCCGCGGUAAUACGGAGGGUGCGAGCGUUAAUCGGAAUUACUGGGCGUAAAGGGCACGCAGGCGGUUAAUUAAGUUGGAUGUGAAAUCCCCGGGCUUAACCUGGGAAUGGCAUUCAAGACUGGUUAGCUAGAGUCUUGUAGAGGGGGUAGAAUUCCAUGUGUAGCGGUGAAAUGCGUAGAGAUGUGGAGGAAUACCGGUGGCGAAGGCGGCCCCUGGACAAAGACUGACGCUCAUGUGCGAAAGCGUGGGGAGCAAACAGGGAUUAGA
rnacentral:rRNA from 1 species